GGACGAACGCUGGCGGCGUGCCUAAUACAUGCAAGUCGAACGCUUUUUCUUUCACCGGAGCUUKCUCCAYCGAAAGAAAARGAGUGGCGAACGGGUGAGUAACACGUGGGUAACCUGCCCAUCAGAAGGGGAUAACACUUGGAAACAGGUGCUAAUACCGUAUAACAGUAGAAACCGCAUGGUUUCUAUUUGAAAGGCGCUUUUGCGUCACUGAUGGAUGGACCCGCGGUGCAUUAGCUAGUUGGUGAGGUAACGGCUCACCAAGGCAACGAUGCAUAGCCGACCUGAGAGGGUGAUCGGCCACAUUGGGACUGAGACACGGCCCAAACUCCUACGGGAGGCAGCAGUAGGGAAUCUUCGGCAAUGGACGAAAGUCUGACCGAGCAACGCCGCGUGAGUGAAGAAGGUUUUCGGAUCGUAAAACUCUGUUGUUAGAGAAGAACAAGGAUGAGAGUAAAAYGUUCAUCCCUUGACGGUAUCUAACCAGAAAGCCACGGCUAACUACKU
rnacentral:rRNA from 1 species